UAGAAGAAGCUUUGGAAAUCAAUGUACUAUUCCGAUUGAAUCCGGAUUUUCCGCAUCCGAAACCUUCGAUUCGAACCUCAACAGCGGAUCGACUCCAAUUCGACCAAACCCCUUUAUUCUAUUUCUUAUCAACCCGAACCAUAAUCGCAAAGAAAACAAGAGGCCUGUAAUCAAUUUCGCACUCCGCGACUGUUUGGUCGAAGAAACUGGAACGGAGGUCGGUUUUUGGUUCUUUUUCUGAUGGAUUUGACGACGGAAAUGGUUCUAUUUGGGGUGAGUUUGGCGGGUUUUCACUUUAAAAAAAAAAUGGGAAGAGCCCCAUAUGGUUUCCUGGUGGGUGUAUCUAUUGCUUCCCGUGGGCACCUCCCCUUUUCCAUGUUUUUUGGUAUAAGAAAAGUGUGUAAUG
rnacentral:lncRNA from 1 species